rnacentral:lncRNA from 1 species
GGCUGCUGGGCGCGAGAGCGCUCUUUUCGGCGCGGCGAAAGAGAAAACUGGGUAAAGCAAAGUGAUGGCUCAAUCAGAGGUGGAUUCUGUUGACUGUGUGACAUCGGAUAGAGAUGGGGACAUUGGAAAUCAAAGUGAUGACUCAUCCAAUAGCAGCUUAUUUAAAACACAGUGUGUUCCUUCACCUACAAGAAAGCAAAGAAUCCCUACUGUGAAAUGUGUUCCUUCACUUGCAAGUGUUGAAACAGAUUCAUCAAGUGACUCUUCUCUAGAACCAAGGCCUUUGACUUUAAAGGCUAUUUUUGAAAGAUUUAAGAAAAAGAAAAGGAAAAAGAGGAAAAAGAGAAAAUAUAAGCCAAAGUUAAGACGACAAGGAAGACCAUCUGGAACGAGGAACAUUAGAAGGUCACAAAUAGAUGCAAAACAAAUUAAAGACAAAGGAGCUGUGUUUCCAUUCUUAGAAUCUGAAAGUGGAAGAAAGACUUUACCUUGGAAGAAAAUUUUAACAUAUGAGCAAGCAGUUGCAAGAGGAUUUUUUCACCACAUUGAAAAACUCAAGUAUGAACACCACCUUAAGGAAUGCUUGAGCCAAAUGCAUGCUGGGGAAGAUUUAGAAAAGGAAGACUUUGACAGCCGUAGACACAAGUACAUGGAUGAUGAUGGUCCGCUUUCUCCUAUUGAAGAGCCGUCAACUGAAGAUGAAGCAACAGAUCCUCAGUCUGAAUGUGAUAUUAAGUUGGUUGAAGACAGUUGCUUUAUAAUAAGUACAGAAUUCCCAAGGAAGAGAAACUUAGAACAAGAAAAGAUUAAGAAAGAAUCUGCAUUCUCUAAAAAGAGCAAAGCCAAGGAUGCCACACAGAGAGGGAACAGGAGGUCCUGGAAAGGAGGUGAACAUGCUUGCCUUCAUUCUGAAGUCAGUUAAAAGAUGCCCAUGAAUGGAUGUUUGUUUCAGUGUUGAAUGGACAUGAAAGACUCUACAGAGAUGUUGGGCGUCACAAGGGAAACCUACCUUAAAAUGGUUUUUAAAGCUAAUUGAAGAAGGGUCCCUAAAUUAAAGUAAAUUGAAGAAAUCCACAAAUCUUCUGGCUAAGAACUUAGAAGUUGCCAAUGACUGUUGGAAAAGACAGAUAAAAGAGGGCUAAAAAUAAAAAGCACAACUGGAUGCCCUUGAGGAAAGGGCUAUUUUCAGAGUGCCUGGAUGGACAGCAAAGAAAUCAAACCAACCACUUAAAUAAAAAUUUAUUGACAAUAAAUAAUUUUAUACAUUAAAAAAGAACCCUUAACACAAUUUGUAGGAAGUC